CAGGAGGUCACCUGAUCUCUUUGUUAUCCAACACCUUCAGUUGGCACCUUGCAGGGGAGGGGCCCAGGCCAUCAGUUGCCAGGAGACGGGAUGUCAGCCAUUCUCUGAGCAGACAGCAUCACACUGGCCCUCUAGGGCUCCUCACCAAUCACACCCCCUUAUCCCACCACCUAGAUACUUAAGAAAGGCCUAGGGGAAGCUGAGGCACCCACACAGUAUUCAGAGAAACCAUUAAGAACAUUCUCACUUCAUCACAGCAUCCAGGCUUGAUUUGCAUAUUUCAAGAGAUGGAAAGUUGUCCACUUCUAUUGGUAUUUCGUUAGACUUUGCACCACCUUCCCAGAUCUAUUGCCAGUGGCUAUUGCCAGCUUCACAGCUAGAGGGGUUCCCAGUAUCCAGACCUGAUGUGAGCUCCCAGCUGGAACGAGGGGAAGAGCCGUUGGUCCCAGAUCUCCAGGGCUCGGAGGACAGAGAGAGCAUCUGCACGGCAGGUGAUGGGACGGUGAGUGAGACGAGGGAGCAGAAUUCUAAAGAGGAAGAUACUGAACAAGUGGAACUGCAUAGGGCAUCAUCACAAAGAGACAAAGGGAAUGUGCCUGGGAAUUGUGAGCAGGAAGAAGGUUAUGGGCAUCAGCAGAGGCCAGAGCAGCAGCUGGGAAACCAGACAGAGGAAAAAGUGGGUAAAU